rnacentral:tRNA from 1 species
GGUCCCCUAGCUCAGCUGGGAGAGCGCUCCGUUCACACCGGAGAGGUCGUCGGUUCAAGUCCGGCGGGGACUAC